UACGUAGGGACCGAGCGUUGUCCGGAUUCAUUGGGCGUAAAGAGCUCGUAGGCGGCUAUUCAAGUCGAACGUGAAAUCUCGGAGCUCAACUCCGAAACUGCGUUCGAUACUGGGUAGCUAGAGUCUGGUAGGGGGAUCUGGAAUUCCUGGUGUAGCGGUGGAAUGCGCAGAUAUCAGGAGGAACACCGGUGGCGAAGGCGGGAUCCUGGGCCAGUACUGACGCUGAGGAGCGAAAGCGUGGGGAGCAAACAGGG
rnacentral:rRNA from 1 species